rnacentral:rRNA from 1 species
AGUUGGUGGAGUGAUUUGUCUGGUUAAUUCCGUUAACGAACGAGACCCCAGCCUGCUAAAUAAUCACGCUAAUGAUUUUUCAUUGACGAUGGUUUCUUAGAGGGACAUGUAGUAUAAAACUACAGGAAGAUUGGGGCAAUAACAGG